UACGGAGGGUGCAAGCGUUACUCGGAAUUACUGGGCGUAAAGGGUGAGUAGGCGGCUGGGCAAGUCAAGGAUGAAAGCCCGAGGCUCAACUUCGGAACCGUCCUUGAAACUGCUCAGCUUGAGGGUAGUUGAGGAGAGCGGAAUUCCCGGUGGAGCGGUAAAAUGCGUAGAUAUCGGGAGGAACACCUGAGGCGAAGGCGGUUCUCUAAGCUACUCCUGACGCUGAAUCACGAAAGCUAGGGGAGCAAACGGG
rnacentral:rRNA from 1 species